rnacentral:rRNA from 1 species
AGCGAACGCUGGCGGCAUGCUUAACACAUGCAAGUCGCACGGUCGGGGGUAACUCCGGCAGUGGCGGACGGGUGAGUAACGCGUAGGUAUCUGUCCAUGGGUGGGGGAUAACGCUGGGAAACUGGUGCUAAUACCGCAUGACACCUGAGGGUCAAAGGCGCAAGUCGCCUGUGGAGGAGCCUGCGUCCGAUUAGCUAGUUGGUGGGGUAAAGCCUACCAAGGCGACGAUCGGUAGCUGGUCUGAGAGGAUGAUCAGCCACAUUGGGACUGAGACACGGCCCAAACUCCUACGGGAGGCAGCAGUAGGGAAUAUUGGACAAUGGGCGCAAGCCUGAUCCAGCCAUGCCGCGUGAGUGAAGAAGGCCCUCGGGUUGUAAAGCUCUUUUGUCCGGAAAGAAAAGCACUGGGUUAAUACCCCGGUGUCCUGACGGUACCGGAAGAAUAAGCACCGGCUAACUUCGUG